AUUGAACGCUAGCGGGAUGCUUUACACAUGCAAGUCGAACGGCAGCGCGGACUUCGGUCUGGCGGCGAGUGGCGAACGGGUGAGUAAUGUAUCGGAACGUGCCCAGUAGCGGGGGAUAACUACGCGAAAGCGUAGCUAAUACCGCAUACGCCCUACGGGGGAAAGCAGGGGAUCGUAAGACCUUGCACUAUUGGAGCGGCCGAUAUCGGAUUAGCUAGUUGGUGAGGUAACGGCUCACCAAGGCGACGAUCCGUAGCUGGUUUGAGAGGACGACCAGCCACACUGGGACUGAGACACGGCCCAGACUCCUACGGGAGGCAGCAGUGGGGAAUUUUGGACAAUGGGGGCAGCCCUGAUCCAGCCAUCCCGCGUGUGCGAUGAAGGCCUUCGGGUUGUAAAGCACUUUUGGCAGGAAAGAAACGUCGCGGGCUAAUACACCGUGGAACUGACGGUACCUGCAGAAUAAGCACCGGCUAACUACGUG
rnacentral:rRNA from 1 species